UUAGAGUUUGAUCCUGGCUCAGGAUGAACGCUAGCUACAGGCUUAACACAUGCAAGUCGAGGGGCAUCAUGGCGGUCGCUUGCGACCGCUGAUGGCGACCGGCGCACGGGUGCGUAACGCGUAUCGAACCUGCCGCAUACCCGGGGAUAGCCUUGCGAAAGCAAGAUUAAUACCCGAUGUUCUCACUGUUCCGCAUGUUACGGUGAGCAAAGAAUUUCGGUAUGCGAUGGCGAUGCGUCCCAUUAGCUAGUUGGCGGGGUAACGGCCCACCAAGGCUCCGAUGGGUAGGGGUUCUGAGAGGAAGGUCCCCCACACUGGAACUGAGACACGGUCCAGACUCCUACGGGAGGCAGCAGUGAGGAAUAUUGGUCAAUGGACGCAAGUCUGAACCAGCCAAGUAGCGUGCAGGAUGACGGCCCUAUGGGUUGUAAACUGCUUUUAUGCGGGGAUAAACUGAGUCACGUGUGGCUUAUUGCAGGUACCGCAUGAAUAAGGACCGGCUAAUUCCGUGCCAGCAGCCGCGGUAAUACGGAAGGUCCGGGCGUUAUCCGGAUUUAUUGGGUUUAAAGGGAGCGCAGGCCGCCCCUUAAGCGUGUUGUGAAAUGCCGCGGCUCAACCGUGGCACUGCAGCGCGAACUGGGGGGCUUGAGUGCGCCGGAGGUAGGCGGAAUUCGUGGUGUAGCGGUGAAAUGCUUAGAUAUCACGAAGAACUCCGAUUGCGAAGGCAGCCUACCGUAGCGUUACUGACGCUGAGGCUCGAAGGUGCGGGUAUCGAACAGGAUUAGAUACCCUGGUAGUCCACGCCGUAAACGAUGAUUACUAGGUGUCGGGGGGCAGAGGCCCUUCGGUGCCGCAGCAAACGCAAUAAGUAAUCCACCUGGGGAGUACGUCCGCAAGGAUGAAACUCAAAGAAAUUGACGGGGACCCGCACAAGCGGUGGAGCAUGUGGUUUAAUUCGAUGAUACGCGAGGAACCUUACCCGGGCUCAAACGGGGAGUGACUCAGGCAGAGACGCCUGUUUCCCACGGGACACUCCCCGAGGUGCUGCAUGGUUGUCGUCAGCUCGUGCCAUGAGGUGUCGGCUUAAGUGCCAUAACGAGCGCAACCCCCGCGUGCAGUUGCUAACAGAUAACGCUGAGGACUCUGCACGGACUGCCGGCGCAAGCCGCGAGGAAGGCGGGGGUGACGUCAAAUCAGCACGGCCCUUACGUCCGGGGCGACACACGUGUUACAAUGGGUGGUACAGCGGGAAGCCAGGCGGCGACGCCGAGCGGAACCCGAAAUCCACUCUCAGUUCGGAUCGGAGUCUGCAACCCGACUCCGUGAAGCUGGAUUCGCUAGUAAUCGCGCAUCAGCCAUGGCGCGGUGAAUAC
rnacentral:rRNA from 1 species